rnacentral:rRNA from 1 species
UACGGGGGGGGCAAGCGUUGUUCGGAAUUACUGGGCGUAAAGGGCUCGUAGGCGGCCAACUAAGUCAGACGUGAAAUCCCUCGGCUUAACCGGGGAACUGCGUCUGAUACUGGAUGGCUUGAGUUCGGGAGAGGGAUGCGGAAUUCCAGGUGUAGCGGUGAAAUGCGUAGAUAUCAGGAGGAACACCGAUGGCGAAGGCAGUGUUCUGGGCCAGUACUGACGCUGAGGAGCGAAAGCGUGGGGAGCAAACAGG